UAGCGUAGGGGGCAAGCGUUGUCCGGAUUUAUUGGGCGAAAGAGCGUGUAGGCGGCCAGGUAGGUCUGCUGUGAAAACUCGAGGCUCAACCUCGAGACGUCGGCGGAAACCAUCUGGCUAGAGUCCGGAAGAGGAGAGUGGAAUUCCCGGUGUAGCGGUGAAAUGCGCAGAUAUCGGGAAGAACACCCGUGGCGAAGGCGGCUCUCUGGGACGGUACUGACGCUGAGACGCGAAAGCGUGGGGAGCGAACAGG
rnacentral:rRNA from 1 species